rnacentral:rRNA from 1 species
AAACGAUAGAGAAAGCUUGCUUUUUCUAGGCGUCGACCGGCGCACGGGUGAGUAACGCGUAUCCAACCUGCCCAUCACUUGGGGAUAACCUUGCGAAAGUAAGACUAAUACCCAAUGACGUCUCUAGAAGACAUCUGAAGGAGAUUAAAGAUUUAUCGGUGAUGGAUGGGGAUGCGUCUGAUUAGCUUGUUGGCGGGGUAACGGCCCACCAAGGCGACGAUCAGUAGGGGUUCUGAGAGGAAGGUCCCCCACAUUGGAACUGAGACACGGUCCAAACUCCUACGGGAGGCAGCAGUGAGGAAUAUUGGUCAAUGGGCGAGAGCCUGAACCAGCCAAGUAGCGUGCAGGAUGACGGCCCUAUGGGUUGUAAACUGCUUUUAUAAGGGAAUAAAGUGAGAGUCGUGACUCUUUUUGCAUGUACCUUAUGAAUAAGGACCGGCUAAUUCCGUGCCAGCAGCCGCGGUAAUACGGAAGGUCCGGGCGUUAUCCGGAUUUAUUGGGUUUAAAGGGAGCGUAGGCCGGAGAUUAAGCGUGUUGUGAAAUGUAGACGCUCAACGUCUGCACUGCAGCGCGAACUGGUUUCCUUGAGUACGCACAAAGUGGGCGGAAUUCGUGGUGUAGCGGUGAAWUGCUUAGAUAUCACGAAGAACUCCGAUUGCGAAGGCAGCUCACUGGAGCGCAACUGACGCUGAAGCUCGAAAGUGCGGGUAUCGAACAGGAUUAGAUACCCUGGUAGUCCGCACGGUAAACGAUGGAUGCCCGCUGUUGGUCUGAAUAGGUCAGCGGCC